rnacentral:piRNA from 1 species
UGCUUGGGUGGAAGCUCUUCUUGUGCAG